UUGAUUUUUAUACAUACAUAGACUGGUUUCCCGGAUGCAGAUUAAGCCUAAUCUUGGACUGAAGUAUUUCCAUUGGAGAUUUGUCAUUGAACUAGUUUUUUUGUUGUUGUCCAUGACUUUGUCAUUGUUGUGUAAGUAGCACUGCAUUCAUAACACCAUGCAUCCCCAUGCUGUCGUUUCUGAAGGCUAAGCUAGGUUGGGCCUCUGUAAACAUGGGUGAACUACAUGGAAUGCUGCCUGGGAAGAUCAGGUUGCUGGUAGGAGUGAUGUUGGAGGGCCAGUACAGGCAUGGGAAUGCAUACACUGAACACAAAUAUAUAUAUAUAUAUAUCUCGUGUUUCAUGAGCUGAAAUAAAAUAUCACAGAAAUGUUCCAGACGCACAAAUAGCUGAUUUCUCUAAAAUGUUAUGCACAAAUGAGUUUACAUCCCGGAUUAGUGAGUAUUUCUCCUUUGCCAAGAUAAUCCAUUCACCUGACAGGUGUGGCAUGUCAAGAAGCUGAUUAAACAGCAUGAUUAUUACACAGGUGCACCUUGUGCUGGGGGACAAUAAAGGGCCACUCUAAAAUGUGCCGUUUUGUCACUCGACACAAUACCACAGAUAUCUCAAGAUUUGAGGGAGCCUGCAAUUGGCAAUACUGACUGUAGGAAUGUCCACCAGAGAAUGAAAUGUUUAUUUCUCUACCAUAAUCCUCCUCCAACGUUGUUUUAGAGAGUUUGGUAGUACGUCCAGCCGGCGUCACAACCACAGAUGUCAUUGUUGUGAACAACCCCAUGGUGGCGGUGGUGUUAUGGUAUGGGGCAAGGCAUAAGCUACGGACAAUGAACACAAUUGCACUUUAUCGAUGGCGAUUUUAAUGCACAGAAUUACCGCGACGAGAUCCCGGGGCCCUUUUUAAAAUAUUUAAGGUAUCUGUGACCAACAGAUGCAUAUCUGUAUCGUGUGAAAUACACAUAUUAGGACCUAAUCAAUUUAUUGAAAAUGACUGAUUCCCUCAGUAAAGUCAAUUAAAUGGCUGCAUGUUGCGUUUAUAUUUUUGUUCAGUGUAGUAGGAAUACAGGCAUGUGAAUAUAUACAUAAUGCAUUGGGAGGAUAUUCAGAACCCUUUUCCACAUUUUAUUACAGCCUUAUUCUCAUCAAUCUACACACAAUACCCCCUAAUGACAUCACAAUACCCCCUAAUGAUAUCACAAUGCCCCCUAAUGACAUCACAAUACCCCCUAAUGACAAAGUAUAUACAGGUUUUUAGAAAAAAGAAACAAUAUCUUAUUUACAUAACUAUUCAGACCCUUUUGCUAUGAGACUAAAUUGAUCUCAGGUGCAUCCUGUUUCCAUUGAUCAACCUUGAGAUGUUUCUACAACUUCAUUGGAGUCCGACACCUGUGGUAAAUUCAAUUGAUUGGACAUGAUUUGGAAAGGCACACGCCUGUCUAUAUAAAGUCCCACGGUUGACAGCGCAUGUCAGAGCAAAAACCAAUCCAUGAGAUCGAAGGAAUUCUCCGUAUAGCUCCGAGACAGGAUUGUUGGCACACAUCUGGGGAAAUGUACCAAAAAAUGUAUGCAGCAUUGAAGGUCCCCAAGAACACCUCCAUCAUUCUUAAAUGGAAGAAGUUUGGAACCACCAAGACUCUUCCUAGAGCUGGCAGCUCGGCCAAACUGAGCAAUCAGGUGAGCAGGGCCUUGGUCAGGGAGGUGACCAAGAACUUCGUCACUCUGACAGAGCUCUAGAAUUCUCCUGUGGAGAUGGGAGAAUCCUCCAGAAGGACAACCAUCUCUGCAGCACUCCACCAACCAGGUCUUUAUGGUAGUGGCCAGACGGAAGCUACUACUCAGUAAAAGGCACAUGACAGCCCGCUUGGAGUUUGCCAAAAGGCACCUAAAGGACUCAGGCCAUGAGAAACAAGAUUCUCUGGUCUGAUGAAACCAAGAUUGAACUCUUUGGCCUGAAUGCCAAGCAUCACGUCUGGAGGAAACCUGGAACCAUCCCUACGAUGAAGCAUGGUGGUGGCAGCAUCAUGCUGUGGGGAUGUUUUUCAGCAUCAGGGGCUGGGAGACUAGUCAGGAUCGAAGAAAGAUGAAUGGAGCAAAGUACAGAGAGAUCCUUGAUGAAAACCUGCUGCAGAGCCCUCAGGACCUCAGACUGGGGCAAAGGUUCACCUUCCAACAGGACAACGACCCUAACCACACAGCCAAGACAACACAGGAGUGGCUUCUGGACAAGUCUCUGAAUGUCCUUGAGUGGCCCAGCCAGAGCCCGGAACCUGAUCAAACAUCUCUGGAGAGACCUGAAAAUAGCUGUGCAGUGACGUUCCCCAUCCAACCUGACAGAGCUUGAGAGGAUCUGCAGAGAAGAAUGGGAGAAACUCUCCAAAUACAGGUGUGCCAAGCUUGUAGCAUCAUACCCAAGAAGACUCGAGGCUGUAAUCGUUGCCAAAGGUACUUCAACAAAGUACUGAGCAAAGAGUCUGAAUAUUUAUUUAAAUAAGGUAUUUCAUGUUUGUGUUUUGUUUUUGGCUAACCUGUUUUUGCUUUGUCAUUAUGGGGUGUUGUGUGUAGAUUAAUGUGGAAUUUUUUUUUUUUUUUUAAUCCAUUGUAACUAAAUGUGGAACAUGUCAAGGGGUAUGGAUACUUUCCGAAUGGAUAAAAAAAAGUGAGAAAAAGUGUUUUGAUUUAGUUAAUAAUUUAAAAAGCAUGAAGCUCAUACACAAGUGGCCUCUAACUGGUCUUAAACGCAGGGAAAACUAAAUGCAUGCUAUUCAACCGAUCAACUACUUCUCAGACAGAGUUCAGUGUGUCAAAUCGGAGGGCCUGUUGUCCGGACCUCUGGCAGUCUCUAUGGGGGUGCCACAGGGUUCAAUUCUCGGGCCGACUCUCUUCUCUCUUCUCUGUAUACAUCAAUGAUGUCGCUCAGGGGAAACCAAAUGCAUGCUAUUCAACCAAUCACUGCCCGCACCUGCUCGCCCGUCCAGCAUCACUACUCUGGAUGGCUCUGACUUAGAAUACGUGGGAAACUACAAAUACCUAGGUGUCUGGUUCUACUGUAAACUCUCCUUCCAGACUCACAUUAAGCAUCUCCAAUCCAAAAUUAAAUCUAGAAUUGACUUCCUAUAUCGCAACAAAGCAUCCUUCACUCAUGCUGCCCUCGUAAAACUGACCAUCCUACCGAUCCUCGACUUCGGUGAUGUCAUCUAUAAAUUAGCCUCCAACACUCUACUCGGCAAACUAGCUUUAAGCACCAGCUGUCAGAGCAGCUCACAGAUCACUGCACCUGUACAUAGCCCAUCAUGGUCCUUCUGUGGCUCAGUUGGUAGAGCAUGGCGCUUGUAACGCCAGGGUAGUGGGUUCGAUUCCCGGGACCACCCAUACGUAGAAUGUAUGCACACAUGACUGUAAGUCGCUUUGGAUAAAAGCGUCAGCUAAAUGGCAUAUAUUAUUAUAUAUAUUAUUAUAUUAUUAUUAUUAUAUUAUCUGUAAACAGCCCAUCUAUCUACCUCAUCCCCAUACUGGUAUUUAUUUAUUUAUCUUGCACGUUUGCACCCCAGUAUCUCUACUUGCUCAUUCAUCUUCUGCACAUCUACCAUUCCCGUGUUUCAAUUGCUAUAUUGUAAUUACUUCGCCACCAUGGCCUAUUUAUUGCCUUAAUUCCCAUAACUUACCUCAUUUGCACUCACUGUAUAUAGACUUUUUGUUUUUCUUUUGAUCUACUGCAUUAUUGACUGUAUGUUUGUUUGACUCCAUGUGUAACUCUGUGUUGUUGUAUGUGUCGAACUGCUUUGCUUUAUCUUGGCCAGGUCGCAAUUGUAAAUGAGAACUUGUUCUGAACUUGCCUACCUGGUUAAAUAAAGGUGUUCUCAACUAGCCUACCUGGUAAAAUAAAGGUGUUCUCAACUGGCCUAGCUGGUUAAAUAAAGGUGUUCUCAACUAGCCUACCUGGUUAAAUAAAGGUGUUCUCAACUGGCCUAGCUGGUUAAAUAAAGGUGUUCUCAACUAGCCUACCUGGUUAAAUAAAGGUGUUCUCAACUAGCCUACCUGGUUAAAUAAAGGUGUUCUCAACUAGCCUACCUGGUUAAAUAAAGGUGUUCUCAACUAGCCUACCUGGUUAAAUAAAGGUGUUCUCAACUAGCCUACCUGGUUAAAUAAAGGUGUUCUCAACUAGCCUACCUGGUUAAAUAAAGGUGUUCUCAACUGGCCUACCUAGUUAAAUAAAGGUGUUCUCAACUGGCCUACCUGGUUAAAUAAAGGUGUUCUCAACUGGCCUACCUGGUUAAAUAAAGGUGUUCUCAACUAGCCUACCUGGUUAAAUAAAGGUGUUCUCAACUAGCCUACCUGGUUAAAUAAAGGUGUUCUCAACUGGCCUACCUGGUAAAAUAAAGGUGUUCUCAACUGGCCUACCUGGUUAAAUAAAGGUGUUCUCAACUAGCCUACCUGGUUAAAUACAGGUGUUCUCAACUAGUCUACCUGGUUAAAUACAGGUGUUCUCAACUAGCCUACCCUGGUUAAAUAAAGGUGUUCUCAACUAGCCUACCUGGUAAAAUAAAGGUGUUCUCAACUGGCCUAGCUGGUUAAAUAAAGGUGUUCUCAACUAGCCUACCUGGUUAAAUAAAGGUGUUCUCAACUGGCCUAGCUGGUUAAAUAAAGGUGUUCUCAACUAGCCUACCUGGUUAAAUAAAGGUGUUCUCAACUAGCCUACCUGGUUAAAUAAAGGUGUUCUCAACUAGCCUACCUGGUUAAAUAAAGGUGUUCUCAACUAGCCUACCUGGUUAAAUAAAGGUGUUCUCAACUAGCCUACCUGGUUAAAUAAAGGUGUUCUCAACUAGCCUACCUGGUUAAAUAAAGGUGUUCUCAACUGGCCUACCUGGUUAAAUAAAGGUGUUCUCAACUGGCCUACCUGGUUAAAUAAAGGUGUUCUCAACUGGCCUACCUGGUUAAAUAAAGGUGUUCUCAACUAGCCUACCUGGUUAAAUAAAGGUGUUCUCAACUGGCCUACCUGGUUAAAUAAAGGUGUUCUCAACUGGCCUACCUGGUUAAAUAAAGGUGUUCUCUACUAGCCUACCUGGUUAAAUAAAGGUGUUCUCAACUGGCCUACCUGGUUAAAUAAAGGUGUUCUCAACUGGCCUACCUGGUUAAAUAAAGGUGUUCUCAACUGGCCUACCUGGUUAAAUAAAGGUGUUCUCAACUAGCCUACCUGGUUAAAUAAAGGUGUUCUCAACUAGCCUACAUGGUUAAAUAAAGGUGUUCUCAACUAGCCUACAUGGUUAAAUAAAGGUGUUCUCAACUAGCCUACCUGGUUAAAUAAAGGUGUUCUCAACUGGCCUACCUGGUUAAAUACAGGUGUUCUCAACUGGUUUACCUGGUUAAAUAAAUAUCAAUAAUAAUGAUCCUUCCUGU